GGUCGGACGAAGGUUGGCCCUUGAGUGCAAAGGUAGAAGGGAGCUUGACUGCAAGAUCUACCUGUCGAGUAGGGACGAAAGUCGCCCUUAGUGAUCUGACGGGUA